ACAAUUAAACAAUCUUACAAAUUGCAUAUAGGUUUCAGUAUUCCCCAAAUCAAAAUUUCAGCAAUCUAUAUUUAAAUGUUUCAGGACUCUCAUCAAAUUAGAGUCCUAAAUUGUUGUAUGAAGCAAGUCUCCCCCACUACCCACCCCAAAAAAAUCCCUCUUCUCUCCCAUGUUAUAGAUAAUAAUGACAUAAUAUCUGGGUUGAAGAUGAUCAAGUUCUAGAGGUUUGUCAGUUUCCUUAACGUCUAUGAAGGUGGCUACUGCCUCAGCUUAUACAAAGCAUACUUAGAUGUGCGUGUAAAAGCUGUCAGAUUGAAGCUGCUAUUUAGAUGUUUUUCUAUGUGAUGGGCAUGUAUAUUGGUUUAAUUCAUAUUUGUGUGUGACGCCAUAUUUGUGUGUGACGCAUGGCAUUUUUUGACAUUAUAGUCGACUCGUACUUGGAUGGGGGAUUGCUAGGUAAACGUAACUAGUCAAAUUGCAGUCUUUCAGUUAAAAGAAAAAAUUGCAACAGAGAUAAAAGCAAAAUUUACUGAUCACUU
rnacentral:lncRNA from 1 species